CCGGUGCGCGCCGUGGCCCCGGAAGCGGGGAACGGGAGCGGCCCGGUGGCCGAGUGCGGGGCCGUGAUGGGCCGUGAGCCGUGAGCGGGCGGGGAUGUCGGGGGCCCGGGGCUGCCCCCAGGCGGGCACCGGGCAGCGGGCUCUGGCCGAGCUGCUGCUCGCCUUCUCUCGGGCGCAGUAUCGGGCCAAGGACGGGGGCGGCGGCGGGGCCGGGAGCAGCGCGAAGGUGGAGAGGAUUGAGAAGCGCUGUCUGGAGCUGUUUGGCAGGGACUAUUGCUACAGCCUGAUCCAGAAUGUGAAUGGGGAAAUUUGUGGCCACUAUCCCCGGCAGAUUGUCUUCCUAGAGUACGAGAGCACUGACAGGGAGCGGAACAUGUUUGAGAGCACUGUGCAGGUCAGCAAACUGCAGGACCUCAUCAACCGCAGUAAAAUGGCCAGAUGUAGAGGACGAUUUGUCUGCCCAGUCAUUCUGUACAAGGGAAAGCAUGUUUGUAGGUCAGCGACCCUGGCUGGAUGGGGGGAACUGUAUGGACGUACUGGGUACAACUACAUUUUCUCAGGGGGCUCUGACGAUGCAUGGGCUGAUACCGAAGACCUUUCAGAAGAAGAUUCGGCGUUCAGGAAUGCAGAUUCCCAGUUGUUUGACAAGGUCCGAGGACAUGACAUCAAGCUGCUUCGAUACCUGUCUAUCAGAUAUAUCUGUGACCUAAUGGUGGAGAACAAGAAAGUGAAGUUUGGCUUAAAUGUGACGUCUUCCGAGAAAGUGGACAAAGCUCAGCGCUAUGCUGAUUUUACUCUCCUCUCCAUCCCAUAUCCAGGCUGUGAAUUUUUUAAGGAGUACAAAGACCGGGAUUACAGAGCUGAGGGUCUCGUAUUUAACUGGAAGCAGGAUUACGUAGAUGCUCCAUUAAAUAUCCCAGUGUCUCUGACUCGGUCUUUGAACAUUGACUGGAGUGAGUACCAGAGCUGGGACCUGGUGCAACAGACACAGAACUACCUGAAGCUGCUGAUCUCACUCAUCAAUGGGGACGAUGACAGUGGACUCCUGGUACACUGUAUAUCCGGCUGGGACCGAACCCCUCUCUUCGUCGCCCUCCUGCGCCUCUCCUUGUGGGCCGAUGGGCUUAUCCAUGCCUCGCUGGAGCCUGCAGAGAUUCUUUACCUGACAGUGGCCUAUGACUGGUUCCUUUUUGGGCACAUGUUGGUUGAUCGGCUCAGUAAAGGAGAAGAGAUUUUCUUUUUCUGUUUCAAUUUUCUGAAGCACAUCACCUCUGAGGAGUUCUCUGCUGUGAAGCUGCAGAGGAGGAAGAGCCUGCUGCCUGGCUUCACGGUGGAAGAAAUCUGCAUGCUCAAGCAGAGGGAUCGGGGCAGCACCACGAGCCUGAGCAGUGACUUCUCCCUAGUGCUGGAGAGUUCACCAGGAGCAGCUGGGAGCUUCACCUCUGAGGCUGUGGAGCUGAUGCCAGCUGGCGCACAGACCCAGGCCGCUUGGAAGAAGAGCCGCACAUCCUGUCCCCAAACAGUGCUCUGGAGUUGGACCCCACAGCCUGAAGACAGACCGCCUUACUAUGAAGCAAAGUCCUCUAGCUCCUCCUCAAACCAUUCUGACAUCUUCCUGAGGGUUGGAAGCAGCCCAUUGGAGGUCCCGAAACCCAGAGUCUUCCAGCUCGUCAUUACGCUGAUCCGUGACUUCCCCGGGAACUCUGAGCCCAGCUCUUCUAACGUGACGAGUCCUGUUCAUGCUCGCUCCAGCCCUGGCUGCCUGGUGGAGACGGUUGUGUGUAAUGGGCUGAGUUGGACUCUUGUUCCCUUGGACAAUUGGAAUAUACAAGCUCCCGCACAAGAGCGUGGGGUGGGGUGAACCUGGGCUGGACUCUGCAGCGGUAAAUACUGGAGCCAGGAGCACAGAGGGGAACAUCAGUAAUAAGGCUGAGGGGAUCAAGUCAGCCGUGUGCAGACAGCUGGAACCUCUCUCGGCCAGCAGCUCCAGCACAGAGUAGAGAUCUGCUUCCCUUGAUACAGAAGCAGCUUGGAUUUCCUUUCCACUCCUGUGUCCCCGAACGCCAGCUGUAAGCUCAUGGCUGGGUGACCCUAGGGAAAGGGGUGCAGUUGGCAGGGCCGCAGUUGAUCUAGUCCUCUGGAUCCAGUCACACUGCUCCAGCUCCCACUUCCCCGCUGAAUCCAGCCACGCCUUGGUCCACACACAGCCUUCCGUCCUUCUCCAGGAUUGAGCUGAUCACUCCUGGGCGAGCUGGGGGCAUGGUCCAAAUACACCCUCCUAAUUAAGAGACUGACAUGGCUGGGGCCUUCCCCUUGUCCUGAACUUCAUGAAUGGUGUCUGCAUGUCCUAUUGCUCAGGAGAGGAAGGGAUUGCAUUGCCCCACUCAGCACUGCUGGUGCCUUCUCUCUGGCUACAUGAAUCCAGGUCACAUCUGGUCACAGAGGGUCUAUAACAAUCUCCAGCUGAAGUUCUACCUGGGGAUGGGGGAAACAUACAUUUGAAUGCAAAAUGGCUGGUGCCAGUGGCAGGCCGCGAGUCCCGGCUGGAGGAGGUGCGCUCUGCUUUCCUAGCCACCUACAGCAGCACCAUUG